UCUACUUACUUAGUAUAACUACAUAAAUUAGUAAACAGUUUAUUUUAUGGUAAAGCUCAAUUAAGUAAAAGUUUAAAUCAACUAACAGUAGUUACAGAGGAAAAACUCUGAUUAACAAUCCUAAACGAUGACGAAACUCUAUCAUGCUACGUUCAUUGUACUUUAAAUCCCCAAAACCCAAAAACCAUUUUCGUUCUCGCCCAGUGGAAUCGAAACAAGGAAGAAGAAAAAUGAACCAACAGUUAAUUAGAAAAGCUCGAGACCAGCUAUGGCGAUUCGGCAAUCGGAGUAUCUGCUCGACUUUACACAAGGUCAACAAGCCACCUCUCGCGCUUCGAUCGCUCACUCAAUCGCUCAUGGCUUCUCAUUGCUAUGAUUGUUCAGAAUCAUUAUUAACAAAUAAAACAAAGUUUGGUUUUGUAAUC